rnacentral:rRNA from 1 species
UACAGAGACUGCAAGCGUUAUCCGGAUUUAUUGGGUUUAAAGGGUGCGUAGGCGGAUUAAUAAGUCAGUGGUGAAAGCUCACAGCUCAACUGUGAAACUGCCAUUGAUACUGUUGAUCUUGAGUACAGCUGAUGUGGGCGGAAUGUGUCAUGUAGCGGUGAAAUGCUUAGAUAUGACACAGAACACCGAUUGCGAAGGCAGCUCACAAAACUGUAACUGACGCUGAGGCACGAAAGCAUGGGGAGCAAACAGG